rnacentral:rRNA from 1 species
ACGGGGUGCAGCAGGCGCGAAAACUUCACACUGGGGGGAACCCCGAUGAGGGAAUUCCUAGUGCUUGGGCAUUUGUCCAAGCUUUUCCCGAGCGUAGAUAACUCGGGGAAUAAGGGCUGGGUAAGACGGGUGCCAGCCGCCGCGGUAAUACCUGCAGCCCGAGUGGUGGUCGAUUUUAUUGAGUCUAAAGCGUUCGUAGCCGGUCCGUUAAAUCCUUGGGUAAAUCGGGAAGCUCAACUUUCCGACUUCCGAGGAGACUGGCGGACUUGGGACCGGGAGAGGCCAGAGGUACUUCUGGGGUAGGGGUAAAAUCCUGUAAUCCUAGAAGGACCACCGGUGGCGAAGGCGUCUGGCUAGAACGGACCCGACGGUGAGGGACGAAGCCCUGGGUCGCAAACGGGAUUAGAUACCCCGGUAGUCCAGGGUGUAAACGCUGCCGACUUGGUGUUGGGGGCCCUUCGCGGGAACUCAGUGCCGGAGAGAAGUUGUUAAGUCGGCCACUUGGGGAGUACGUCCGCAAGGAUGAAACUUAAAGGAAUUGGCGGGGGAGCAC